rnacentral:rRNA from 1 species
AGGGGAGCAGACAACAGGGAUUGCCCCAGUAACGGCGAGUGAAGCGGCAACAGCUCAAAUUUGAAAUCUGGCUCCUAGAGCCCGAGUUGUAAUUUGUAGAGGAUGCUUUUGAUGCGGUGCCUUCCGAGUUCCCUGGAACGGGACGCCAUAGAGGGUGAGAGCCCCGUCUGGUCGGAUGCCAAAUCUCUGUAAAGCUCCUUCGACGAGUCGAGUAGUUUGGGAAUGCUGCUCAAAAUGGGAGGUAUAUGUCUUCUAAAGCUAAAUAUUGGCCAGAGACCGAUAGCGCACAAGUAGAGUGAUCGAAAGAUGAAAAGCACUUUGAAAAGAGGGUUAAAUAGUACGUGAAAUUGUUGAAAGGGAAGCGCCUAUGACCAGACUUGGGCCCGGUGAAUCAUCCAGCGUUCUCGCUGGUGCACUUUGCCGGGCACAGGCCAGCAUCAGUUUGUCUUGGGGGAAAAAGGCUUUGGGAACGUGGCUCCUUCGGGAGUGUUAUAGACCAUUGCAUAAUACCCUGGGACGGACUGAGGUUCGCGCAUCUGCAAGGAUGCUGGCGUAAUGGUCAUCAGCGACCCGUCUUGAAACACGGACCAAGGAGUCGUCUUCGUAUGCGAGUGUUCGGGUGUAAAACCCCUACGCGUAAUGAAAGUGAACGCAGGUGAGAGCUUCGGCGCAUCAUCGACCGAUCCUGAUGUUCUCGGAUGGAUUUGAGUAAGAGCAUACGGGGCCGGACCCGAAAGAAGGUGAACUAUUCCUGUAUAGGGUGAAGCCAGAGGAAACUCUGGUGGGAGGCUCGCAGCGGUUCUGACGUGCGAAUCGAUCGUCAAAUAUGGGAAUGGGGGCCGGAAAGACUAAUCGUAGCCUUCUAGUAGCUGGUUUCCGCGCGAGCCCCUCUCUCGGAAAGA